rnacentral:tRNA from 1 species
AUCUUUUUAGUACUAGUAAGUAUAAGUGACUUCCAAUCACAUGGCCUUGGUUAAAAUCCAAGAAAAGAUA